rnacentral:rRNA from 1 species
UACGUAGGAGACGAGCGUUGUCCGGAAUUACUGGGCGUAAAGCGCGUGUAGGCGGAUGAGCAAGUCUGCUGUGAAAGCUCCUGGCUUAACCGGGAGUGGUCGGUGGAAACUGCUCGGCUGGAGGGCGGUAGAGGUAGGUAGAAUUCCCGGUGUAGUGGUGAAAUGCGUAGAGAUCGGGAGGAAUACCUGUGGCGAAGGCGGCCUACUGGGCCGGACCUGACGCUGAGACGCGAAGGCGUGGGGAGCGAACGGG